AGAGUUUGAUCCUGGCUCAGAACGAACGCUGGCGGCAUGCCUAACACAUGCAAGUCGAACGAGGGCUUCGGCCCUAGUGGCGCACGGGUGAGUAACGCGUGGGAACCUGCCCUGUGGUACGGAAUAACUCCGGGAAACUGGAGCUAAUACCGUAUGCGUCCUGUGGGACAAAGAUUUAUCGCCAUGGGAUGGGCCCGCGUAGGAUUAGCUUGUUGGUGGGGUAACGGCCUACCAAGGCUUCGAUCCUUAGCUGGUCUGAGAGGAUGAUCAGCCACACUGGGACUGAGACACGGCCCAGACUCCUACGGGAGGCAGCAGUGGGGAAUAUUGGACAAUGGGCGCAAGCCUGAUCCAGCAAUGCCGCGUGAGUGAUGAAGGCCUUCGGGUUGUAAAGCUCUUUCGCACGCGACGAUGAUGACGGUAGCGUGAGAAGAAGCCCCGGCUAACUUCGUGCCAGCAGCCGCGGUAAUACGAAGGGGGCUAGCGUUGUUCGGAAUUACUGGGCGUAAAAGGGCGCGUAGGCGGUACUUCAAGUCAGGCGUGAAAGCCCCGGGCUCAACCUGGGAACCGCGCUUGAGACUGGAGAACUAGAGUUCGGGAGAGGAUGGUGGAAUUCCCAGUGUAGAGGUGAAAUUCGUAGAUAUUGGGAAGAACACCGAUGGCGAAGGCAGCCAUCUGGACCGACACUGACGCUGAGGCGCGAAAGCGUGGGGAGCAAACAGGAUUAGAUACCCUCGUAGUCC
rnacentral:rRNA from 1 species